UACGUAGGGUGCAGGCGUUAAUCGGAAUUACUGGGCGUAAAGCGUGCGCAGGCGGUUUCUUAAGUCAGAUGUGAAAGCCCCGGGCUUAACCUGGGAACUGCGUUUGAAACUGGGAGACUUGAGUGUGGCAGAGGGGGGUGGAAUUCCACGUGUAGCAGUGAAAUGCGUAGAUAUGUGGAGGAACACCGAUGGCGAAGGCAGCCUCCUGGGCCAACACUGACGCUCAUGCACGAAAGCGUGGGGAGCAAACAGG
rnacentral:rRNA from 1 species